GUCUACGGCCACGCCACCCUGAACGAGGUCCAUCCCGUCUGAUCUCGGAAGCUAAGCAGGGUCGGGCCUGGUGAGUACUUGGAUGGGAGACCACCUAGGGAGACCAGGUGCCGUAGGCG
rnacentral:rRNA from 1 species